CCUACGGGGUGCACCAGUGGGGAAUAUUGCACAAUGGGCGCAAGCCUGAUGCAGCCAUGCCGCGUGUAUGAAGAAGGCCUUAGGGUUGUAAAGUACUUUCAGUCGGGAGGAAGGCGUUGAUGCUAAUAUCAUCAACGAUUGACGUUACCGACAGAAGAAGCACCGGCUAACUCCGUGCCAGCAGCCGCGGUAAUACGGAGGGUGCAAGCGUUAAUCGGAAUUACUGGGCGUAAAGCGCACGCAGGCGGUCUGUCAAGUCGGAUGUGAAAUCCCCGGGCUCAACCUGGGAACUGCAUUCGAAACUGGCAGGCUAGAGUCUUGUAGAGGGGGGUAGAAUUUCAGGUGUAGCGGCGAAAUGCGUAGAGAUCUGAAGGAAUACCAGUGGCGGAGGCGGCCCCCUGGACAAAGACUGACGCUCAGAUGCGAAAGCGUGGGGAGCAAACAGGAUUAGAUACCCGGGUAGUC
rnacentral:rRNA from 1 species